GUCCCUUUAAUGUACAGUGGGGUAGUUGCUUGCAACUUAAUACUACCAAAGGGAGAUCUGCUGCCAUCUUACUUCUCGUUUCCCUGCUCUCUUGUUUGGGAGGCUAGUUGCAAUGAUGCUGCCCGUGCAGCUAGUACAGCCCAGAAAUCGUUAAAGAUAGCUUCCAAUUUUGCCGUAGAUCUCUCCACAUGUAUACACUGGCACCGCUCCUUCAGAGUAUCCUCUCAAGUAUCAAGUACCACCACCAUCUUGUUCUUGUAGGCGUGCGCUCCAAGGUUCUGUACCAAUGAUGGUGAGAAUUUUGGCACUGGUAUGCUGACAGCGCAGUGGGGACCGGGAUAACCCCUGCCGGCCUACAGGGGACGGGACACAAGUUUUUUUUGUAAGAGAAUGAUGCAUUGUGGCACAGAAGAUCAUUCGUUUCUCCCACCCAGUGCACACACAAGGCCUCAGCAGCUCCGUCAAACAAGACUGAGUGAGCACCGUUGGAGACCAGACCGGGUCCCUCUGUCCGGUAUCAGGAACAGGUAGGACACUGUCUGUCUCAGGUGUGAGUUCUGGGUGUCGUAGUAAACUGCUGAAACAAGAAGCUUGCUGAAGAGGUACUUGCGACCCAAUGCCAUGAGGUUCAGUCCCCACCCCGCAUGCUCACUUUUAAUGACCUUUAAUUGCCAUAAAUCUCGCAAUCCCCAGGUUAGGUACCAAUUUAGUUUCCCUGAGAGAUGAAAGUGCUAAGACCCGAACUGUCAUUGUAGUAAGAUAAUGCUGUUAGUCAGUUUCGAGAUGUAUGUUGUCAGCAUUGAGUCCAAAAGUCAAUACAUGUAACUUUAACAUAGUGAGCUUCUCUCAUUACUGCUCCGCCUUCUCACUUGACUGUUACUACAUAAUACAUAACAUUCAGGGUUAUUCACUAAAGAGAACUCCAGGUGAAUCAAAAGCGAAUUUCCUAUUUAAAGGGAUUCUCUAGUGCCAGGAAAACAAACCCAUGUUCCUGGCACUAGAGAAUCCUACAGUUCCCCCAUCCCACGUCGCUGAAGGGGUUAAAACUCCUUCAGAUACUUACCUGAAUCCACCGGCGGGGGAGACCUAAUGGGCAUGCGCGACAAUGGGCGCGCACAUAAGGCCUCCCCAUAGAAACGCAUUAUUCAAUGCGGACGUUUAGACAACCAAAAGUCGUCUAAGAAGUCGGAAGUCCCUCUAGUGGCUGUCUGAUAGACAGCCACUAGAGGAGGACUUAACC